rnacentral:tRNA from 5 species
CGGGGCGUAGCUCAGUUUGGUAGAGCGCUUGCUUCGGGAGCAAGAGGUCGCAGGUUCGAAUCCUGUCGCCCCGACCA